GGGGGAAACGCUGAGACGCGGAGGAAGCGCGUGUCUGCCGCGCCUGCGCGCGUGGCGGCGCGUCGGCGGUUGCUAGGUGACGGGGGCGCGGGGAGUGCGUGCCCUCCCCCCCGCCCGCAGCGCUCGCUGGCUGUGUUCUUUAAAUGUAUUUUGGAUGGGAUUUUCUUUUCCUUCAUUGCCAUCUAUAGAAAUUGAUGAAUUUUUUAAGACAGCAGCCUGGCAACCUGGACAAAAGGCAGGAUUCCCUUGGAUUCUUCAUCAGCAGAUUCAGAAAGACUGUGUCCCAAUCAGUCACGUUCAGAUUGGUAUCACUGCCAGAGAUAUGAACAGUUAGAAAGAGCUCAUGUUGUGAGUAAACUGGUGAAUUAACUGAGCAUCUCAAGUUAAUUCUGAUUGGCAGUGCUAAGGCUCCAUCUGCCAUCAGAUGUCUUUCUUCCUGACUGAGAUGUUUCUGUGGUCUUUGAAGACUAACUUACGUAUUAGAGAUGAAGAUAUCGGGGUCCACCAAUACUGUGACAAGAAAGCAACAGCAUCACAGAUGAAGCAUGGUUACUUAGAAGAGAAGCAAAAGCUAGCAGAAUCUCGAGAUUAUUCUUGGAUACUGAAAAACAAGCGACCAGACAAACUGCGAGACACACUCAAGGAGCUAGAGGACUUAAUGCAAAACAGUCAAUGGAUCCUGAGCAGAUGGAAGAACAAACAUAUCUGUCAGCUCCUCUUUCACUCGGGUAUAUUGGUGUCCCUAAGCCUUUCUGGGCCACAGCUGGAGAAGGUGGUGAUUGACAGGACCCUGGUGGGGAAGCUCAUCUCCGACACCAUCAGCGAUGCUAUUCUUACAGACAAUUUCAUCAUCUUGUCAUUUGAGGACCAUAACCAACUCUGCUUUAUUCAGUUUACGAAGAAGGUGGAUUCUCCUGAUGUAAACAAAAGACUGGAAAAGCUCUCUUGUUUGGACUUUAAGAUUUCUUAUAUUGAUAUACUUGGACCAGAAGGUAGAAGGAUGAAACGUCACCUAGCAAUAAACUCUGUGCAAGAUAUGGUCAUUUGCUGGUGGUCAGCAACUAGUGAUGGAGCCUGGCCUUGGUCUCCUAUUUCCUGUGAGAGGGACAGAGCCAACCUAUUGCUAUUAGGCUGUGCACAUGGCAAAUUGGAGGUUCUAAGUUAUGUCCGUACAGAAUGGGAUCUACUCAAUGCUGGCUUCAGCACUAAUCAGCCUUAUCAGGUCUACACCGUGGAGCACUCCGUCUCCACAGAAAAAGAGCCCAUGGCUGACAGCUGCAUCUACAAGUGCGUUAGGAACAAAAUUCGGUGUGUAGCAGUCACCAGAAUACCACUGCGAUCCAAGGCCAUCAGCUGCUGCAGAGACACUACAGAAGACAAACUAGUCCUGGGUUGUGAAGAUUCAUCAAUAAUUCUGUAUGAAGCCUAUAACCAAGUGACUUUGUUGGCCCAAGCAGAACUGCUGCCGUCAUUAAUAGCCUACCACCCUUCUGGAGCCAUAUUGACGGUUGGCAGCUCUCAAGGGGAGCUGCAACUUUUUGACACGGCACUGUCCCCAGUUAAAAUUCAGCUCCUAGCACAAGACUAUUCACCUGAGGUGACUCUGCAAUUCAGUAAACACUUUGAUGCGCCUAGCAGCCUCAUCCAGAUCCAGUGGGCCACUCCUCAGUUUGCAUCCACCAGCACUGAUGGCUCAGAUAUUCAUGAUCUUUUGUUAGUUAGAUUCGACAAAGGACCUGUAGGAGUACUUCACUUUAAACUUGGUGUGAUCACAAGAGGACAGCUGGGCUUUGUGGAAAUCAUCCACCAGUACAUUCGUUAUGAUGAGAUACACGAGGCAAUUAAUGUCCUGAACACCAUGAACUGGAACACGAUGGGUCUUCAGUGUUAUAUAUGCUUGAGUGCCAUUGUCAAUCACCUUCUUAAACAAAAGCUUACACCAGACAGAGAAGCACAGCUUGAGGCAAGCCUCGGAACCUUUUAUGCUCCAACAAGACCCCUCUUGGAUACAACUGUGCUGGAGUACAGGGACCCAAUCAGCAAAUAUGCAAGAAGGUUCUUCCACCACCUGCUCAGGUAUCAGAGAUUUGAAAAAGCAUUUCUGCUAGCUGUUGACAUAGGUGCUCGGGACCUGUUUAUGAACUUCUGGGGCAGUCAGGUGAAGAAGACCCAUCUCACAAAGCUUUCGUUGACUGCCCUUCAGACCCUGGUGGAGAGCGCAACCUGCCUUCUCCUGAUCCAGCCACCAGCUUGCCAGCACAAAGCUCUUCCCACAGGUUUGAGGACGCUUGAAUAUCUCAUGAAUUACACCUUGGCAGAAGCCCUGGGCAAGGGUCUUGUGAAGACUAGCAGAAGACUAGCAGAAGACGUUUUAGCUUGCAUAAUAAACCUUCUUAGUGAUGCCCUUCAAGGAGCCUGACAUCUGCAUAUGUGUAAUAGCCAGUUUUCAGGCUGUAUGAUUAACAAAUGACUUCAAUUAACUCUUCACAUCAUCAUCUCCUUUGUCUAACACAGAAAGCAGUAGCCUUGGAUGGAGACAGGGACAGAAAAGGCUGGAACCAAAAAAAUCGUUCAUAAAAUGGUCUCAAAGCUUUUAUUUCUUUGAGAACUUUCUCUAGGCAAAGUCUGGCUUAUCUUCUUGCCUUGCAGUCAGAAGGCAGAGAACUUAGUUUGAGACUAAAGCGUGUUUUACAGACAGAGAAACCUGGCUUAACUCCAUGAGAUUUUAUGAAAGUAGCAAUAGUGUGGCUGUCGGCAGAGAACUGUAGUCAACAUUCUGAAUGGUGCACACAUACAACCGAGUAAGUUAUGCCGUGAUAAGAGGACAACACUCCAGAUAAACACAUUAUUUACUGUGUGAUUUCUCUCUCUCUUAACAUGAACAGGACAGUUAGAUACCACCAACAAUGCACACUUCGGUGAGUAAUUUGUUACAAGACAAAGCUCUCAUCUAUCUUAGAUUUGCCACUGACCAUGCCAUUCUCUCCUUCGAAGUGUCUGAUAUGUUAUAGCCUAGCAGUCCUUGUCCUCUCAUUAUUCUUGUUUUCUGUUUAUGGAAAAGUUUUGAUCAGCAUAAUCCUUUUGCUCCCUCUAUAGAAGGAAAAUAUUUUUAGAAGCUGUGGACACUGUUGUUCUGAGGACCAAGGUAGCACACUGAUCCUCUCGGCAACAUGUUAAAGGAACUGAUUGACUCCCUGUAGGACAGCUUAUUUCUGGAUGAGUCAGCUAGUGAGUGCCUGCAACUGUGCCAGAAUCUGCCACGUAAGAGUCAGCACAGAACUAUGGCUGUUCUCGCUUCUCUGCUGUUGGCACUGGUAACUGUGAUGUGGGUUUCCUCUCUGUCACUGUGUCAUUCUGUUCCUUUACCAUAAUGCAUUGCAGGUUUAAAUCUCUUGCAUUUGUUGGAAAUGUCAGUGUGAAUGUGAAUGUGAAGCUGGGUUGGGAUCUUUUUCAGCUUGUUAUUCAUCUACCUUGUCCUCAUCACCCAAACCAGAACUAUUCUGAUUUUAAUUAGAAUAUCUCUUAUUUUAAUACAAAUGAUUAGGAUAGAAAGCAAAAGUGUGUAUAUAUACAUCUCAUCACAGUGAUUUUUAUCAUCAAAUUUUCUUGUUGAAUAUGUAUUUAAAGAUGCACAUAUUUCUACUGCUCUACAAGUUUUUAUUAAGCUCGGAAGCAUGUUUGUAUAUUUUGAAUUAAAAUCAACGCAAAGAGAGAGACAAUUAGAGUUACUCCACUGGGUCCCUUUUUGUGUGUCAUGUAUAAAAACCCUUUAAGUGGAUAAUUUGUGCAAUUAAACUAAAUAAGCAUUCCUCACACUUAAGGCUCUUCUGUUAAUUGAUCCACCAUCAGUUAUGUUUUUUAAAAGUUGUCUUUAACCAGGAACAAAACCUGGUCUUGAAUAUCAGGAAUAUAGGCUGAGAAAUAGGGUCAGCCACAGGUCCAGGCAUACUACUACAGGCUGCUCUAACUGUCCUAGCAAUUUUCAGUUCAAAAGUAACUCGAUUAAUUGGGACAUGUCCCUGCCUGUGGCAGGGGGGUUGGAAUUAGAUGAUCUUUAAGAUCCCUUCCAACCCAAACUGUUCUAUGAUUCUGUGUGUGCUGUGAGGAUGUGGCAAUGUGGAGGUGGAGGAAAUUCAUCACAGAAGUGGGAUCCGGCAGCUCAGCAGUGCUAAUCCCACCUGGUUGCUGCAGCCUCCCUUCUCAUUCUUCGCCAUUGCUCAGCCCCAGUGAAGGUGACAGGAGUUUCACAUGCGUUGAGAACACAACAACAGGCAAAUAUGUGUGGCUCUUUGCAAAGUUGCAGUAUCAAUUUCUACAUCUGUAAAACUGAGGUAAUACAUUACCAACUUCAAAGAGUUGUUGGGCAAAUUAAUUAGUCAGUGUGCAUACAGCACCUUGAAAAUAUGAAGUUAACUCUUAUUGCCCCAUAGAUACUUGAGAUGCAUCGAGGUAUGCUCUAUGGCCUUUUAAUUUCAGGCAAAGGUCCUCUUGAUUAAAUUGGAUUGCUAACAUAUUAACGCAUUGCACACUUGAAGAAAGAAAAGUUUGAAAGAGUAGUUUUGCUUCAUCACAUGAGCAGCGUGUAUACUUAAUGGAAAUUUUUCCAGCAUUCACAAAACAAAGAAAAACCAAUAAAAUGCCUGCCAACUGUUCCACUGAAAACAUUUUAUAAUCUAUAGCUCCGAGAAUCCUGAGCCAAGAUAAACCAGUGUUGCUGAAGGAAAUACUGACAAUUAUUUUACAUUGAUUCAACUUGGCCCAGCCCAGACUGACCUUGUUUAUUCUUCUCAGUCUCUUAAUUCAUAUUAACUUGGCAUCAAAAUGGGACAUGUGGCAUGUGAGCUGAAGACCCAUUUCUGUAUCUUAGACUCAGAUAAAUGUAGUGCAUUGAGUACUUCCAGUGCCUUGAGCUCUUAGGUAGAUUUAUAUGCAUUAGACAGAACUGGUUAAGUUCCUUUUAUCCCCGCUGGGCUUUUCCUGUCUGUUGACUGUAAAACUAGAAGCUCAGUAGAAGUAACAUCUUCUUCUAAGCCUUUGGAUAUACAUGAAAUCCUCCCAGUAGUGGUCAAUUUUAAAGGCACAUCCAAAGAGGAUGGAGGGUUUUAAGCUGUUUUAAAACAUAAAGAUAGAAGGGUUAUGGCAAUUUGGCAGCCAAAAAAAGCAAUUUGCAGGUCUCAGCAGAAUCUGAGGCUGUGUGUAAGAAAGCUGAUCAAGACACUACGGAGGAGAUAAUGGGGUCAAAGAGCAGAAGAAUCCCUCCAUUUUUGCAACCAGCAUAAUCUGGUCUCCAAUGAAGUUUCUUAGUUUCUUUUGCUGAACCAAUAAAGCUUAGCGUGAUGGGAGAGUUGCAUUAUUGGAGCUUAAAAAUGUCUCUGGAAAGCUGAUGGGGAGAGUUGCUUUACAGAUGCCCAGCUGCUUGCAUAGCUGUCGCCUGACUGGUACUGUGAAGACAAAGGCAUAGGGAAAGUCUGAGAUUUUUCUUUAAUUAUUUACAGUCUUGUCAGUAAUAAAAGGCUUUUUGUGUCUGGAAUGUAUUAUUUGUGUUAUCAAAACUGAAUGAGAUUUCGCACUGUGUUGGUUAACAAAUUGGAUGCCACACAAAAGGCUUCACAUUUUCAUUCUCAGAUCUGCAUUGCUGUCAUAUCUGAAAGCCACCCUCAAGUAAAAUAUCACUAUGUCCACGGAGGAGGAGAAGGCACCCAAAUGAGGAGAAUCUCCCCAGGGAGUUUCCCAAUUGCCCUGGCAUAAGAGGUUUUUCUCUGUUCAGCUAUUGCUGAAGGCAACACUCCCUUGGACUUCAUCAGGCAUUUGGCAGUUCAUGGACUGCAGGACGAGCAGUGAGUCAGCAAGCCAAGAUAGCACCAGAUGACCUCCAAAUUUCCAGUUCCACUGCCUUGGGAAAGUAUUGCCUUUCCACAUGCCUCCAUAAGCAGAAAUUAAUGACAAGUGAAAAUGCGACUGGCAAAAUAAAAAAAACACGAUCAAUCAAAAAAAUCCAUGUAAAUUUUCCAUAACACCUAGCUGGUGUAUUCCUCCCUGCAGCUCUUUCACGACUUGAAUUUCAGUGAUGGAAGUGGUGUAGGGGACAGGAUUUAACUGCAAAAUCAGUGCUGCUUUUUGGAUCUGACAUCCUCCUCUCCCAGCAUCCGCCCAGCUGCCUCUGUGCAGGCCUGCUGCAGUACCAGGCACCUGCUACGUGUCGCACAUCCCCAGCCUGUCCUGCUUAACAAAACUUUCAUUGCUUCAAAUCACACCAGGUUUACACCACAUCUUUGAAUGAAAAGAUAGUGCUGGAGCGAUUACAUGGCCAAAUGAGUGAUCUUAAUGACGCUCAGUCAACAAACAUAUUGGCAUGUGAUAAAAAAGAGCUACAGUUUGCAGCCAGGGAAUUACACAGGCUGCUGUGUACUUGAAAAAACAUAGAAAAUGAAACAGCUUUGGUCUGUUAUCCAGUGUCUCCCCAACUCUUCAGUCCUUCCUCCCUCUCUUCCUCCCUCCCCUCCUGUCACUUCUGUUUUGUUUUCAAAGACCCACCAGCCGCAGACAGGCAGAGGACAAUGAGCAUGAGGCUGCAGUGGGUAGCUGCACCGCCUCCCCGAUGGAGAAACCUUUUUCCAGCAGCCAGGAAGGAAAUUUGAGAGCAGUUCCUACAGAGCAGG